rnacentral:rRNA from 1 species
ACGGGAGGCAGCAGUGGGGAAUAUUGGACAAUGGGGGAAACCCUGAUCCAGCGACGCCGCGUGAGUGAAGAAGUAUUUCGGUAUGUAAAGCUCUAUCAGCAAGGAAGAAAAUGACGGUACUUGACUAAGAAGCUCCGGCUAAAUACGUGCCAGCAGCCGCGGUAAUACGUAUGGAGCAAGCGUUAUCCGGAUUUACUGGGUGUAAAGGGAGCGCAGGCGGUACGGCAAGUCUGAUGUGAAAGCCCGGGGCUCAACCCCGGUACUGCAUUGGAAACUGUCGAACUAGAGUGUCGGAGGGGUAAGUGGAAUUCCUAGUGUAGCGGUGAAAUGCGUAGAUAUUAGGAGGAACACCAGUGGCGAAGGCGGCUUACUGGACUGUAACUGACGUUGAGGCUCGAAAGCGUGGGGAGCAAACAGGAUUAGAUACCCUGGUA